AAAAAAUUGGAUAUUUUGGCGAGAAUUUGUUAUUUAACAAAUUCGUCGCAACCGAAAAAAAAAUUCGCUCUCGUACCCAUCCCGCCUUACAGUCCCGGCAGUUCUAACGUGGAAAAAUAAAUCAAAAUACAAUUAAUGAGGCUAUUUGACCCAUUAUCUUUCUCUCCUUCUCCGUUGCAUCUCCUUUUCCUUUCUCUUUUUUUUUUUUUUUUUUUUUUCUUCUUCUUCUGUCAAAAUCAUUUUCCACCGCAAACCUACUUUCUUCCUUCAAAACCAGUUGAAUCAAAUCAGUUGGUCACUGCAUCUCCAAAGGUUGAAGCAAACCCAUUUUCUUCUUUGAAUUUCACUUUGAAUUUCUCUUCGAAAUUCUCUUUCUUUUUUUUUUCUUUUUUUUUUUCUUCUUCUGCAGGUGCUAGUCGCCGAUCGAUCUGCUGGUUGCCGUUUAAAGUCGUUCUGGUUGUUGCCGUUCUGGUCCCCAAUCUUUGCAGGUUGGUGCUGUUUUGUUUUGUUUUUUUUUUUUUUGGGGAUAUUGCUAUAGAAAUAAGCUUCCGGUUUUCGGUUUGAACGACCAUGGUCAGCUGCGGCGCCUCCCAAUUUUCGGGUUUCAGGUGGGUUCAAUUCCUCUUUCUGUAACUCCGUCGCCAUUUCCCCCUCCUGGUUCAGUUGCAGAAUAUGCAUAACCUUUUCCACCGUUAAAUUUUUCCUCUAUGCCAUGUCGGUCUCUUAGUUUUUUAUACUAGUUUUGGAACCCAUAAAAAGAAACACUGGGUCUGAGUUAAUUUUCAACGCAAAUGUUAGAAGGGAAUGGAAAUUGUACACAACAAUAAUAAUGAUGAUGAUGAUGAUUCUAAAAUUUAAAAAAAAAAAAAAAAGGACAAAAAUGUUAACUUAAUUGCAAAUUUUCGUUAAUGACUAAAAGUAAGGUAUGGAAGCUUCCACCUUUCACAUGACAAUGCAGAGACCAGAGGACGUUGUGUCUCCUCAAUUACACCAUCAACAUCUAACCCAGAUUAUGCUUUUCUUGGAAAUUUUAAAUUAUUUUUUUAAAAUAAAAAAAUUAAUUACUUUAAUUAUAUCAUAGAUAGGGCAUUUUGGUCAAAAUAAUUCGAUAUGUUGUUGAUUCAUAUGUUAAUUUCAAAAUCUAAUUAAACAAAUGUUCCACCCUUCAUUUCAUUCUAUUGUACUCCAUUCCAUUUAUUUUUUAAAAAAAAUUUCCAUUUCAGACCCUCUUCGGUUCCUACACUACCAUAGGAUUGAUAUUUUUCCCCCUUCUAUGUACUCUGUUUUAAUGUAUGUAGUGGAUUAAUUUUUUAUUUUUUAUUUUUCCUGCAAGUAACAUAGCACAGAUACUUUUAUGAUGAAGCCACUGGUUUUUUUCUCUUAUUCUUGACUGUGAUGCUAGAUAUUCUAAAAAUAUGCAUAUUUUAAGAUUAAAAUAUUAAUAUGGACAUACAUCUAGCUCUUGUUUUGUAAUUAGAAGAAGACAUUAUAAACUUUUAUUAUACUAAAAGAAGAUCGACGAGUCCAUACCAGAAUAGGCCUUAAUAUAUGCAUGAAACCCAACUUGAGCCAAAGCUUAACCUAUUUUAGGUCUUGAAUCUGUCAUUCUAAAUUCUGUUUACAAUUACAUAAAUAUGUAAUUAUCUUAAUGCCUAUUGGAGACCUACGGAGGUUGUACAUAAACAUAUUUAGACCGAAUAAUUCGAGUCUUGGAGAGCAAGAAACAAAAGAUAUUGAUGAAUGUUAUGAUAAUAUAUUUCAUUGUGCAGCAUGGACGAAGUGCUACUGAAAAGGUAUUGUCUUCUUUUUGCUUAUGCAUGAUAAACCUUUUAAUGGUUUCACUGUUAUAGAUGAUCUUUACAGCUAUUUUCGUAGAAGAUUGUGUGAUAUAAAUACUAUGCAGCUAUAUUUAUUGAAAUGCAAACCUUUCAACACCAGUAUCUGUACACGGAAUGCUCUUUUCUUUUCUUCUUCUUCUUCUUCUCUCUUUCAAUUUUUUCUUUUUGCCAAUCUUCUAAAGUGGUAUGGUACUCUUUAUUUACUAUUGUUUAACUCUCUCUCUCUCUCUCUCUCCUUUUUUUUUUUUUUUUUUUGGUUUCCCAAUCUUCUAUAGCUACUGAAAACUCAGGUGCUGCAGAUCUAAGCCAUUUUAAAUUUUAUGCUUUUGCUGGUGGCUCUGGUGCUAUUAGGUGGAGUGGAAGGAAUGAGUUUGAAUGUAGGGAAUUCAGAGAGUCAAUCCUGGGAGUUGUCACCUCAUUGGGAUAGGAGUGAAGAUACCAUGUUAAAACUGGCACACUUCAGGCGGCAUAAAAGGAAAACUUUGAAGAAAACACCUGGAAAGGCUACAAGCUUGCCUUUUUACAAGCCCCAGGAGAAUCACCCUCCAGGGAAGGACUCCACCAAGAAAAUUUCGAGCUUCAUUUGAAAAGCAGCAGAGUAUGCCGGUUCUGCAAAACCAAAAAAGCCAUUUCAUUAUGUUCCUACAAUGACAAACUACACUCAACUUCGGUGGCUUCCGAAUGUUGUUGUGGCUCAUCAAAGGAAGGAAUUGAAGCUGUUCAUUUAGCAACCGGUUGCACUAUUUGUAAGCUUCAUCUUCAAGAAGGUGGCCUUCAUGCUGAUAUUAAUGGUGAUGGAGUGCUAGAUCAUGUCUAGAUGGAUGCAACUUUUCUUUCUACUUUAAGUAUCUUAUCUUAGUGCAAGUUAUCAACAACCUAGGAUAUAUCAGUGGAUUUUGGAAUAUCUCAUUUUGUUAAACUAUUUUACAUUUGGUACCUAAAUAUAGUUGAUAUAACAUGUAUGACUGGUGGCUGGAACAUUCACAGUACUAGUUAGUUUAUGAAGUUGUACUCCUGGAAUAGUUUGUCCACUUAAAUG